GAUGAACGCUGGCGGCGUGCCUAAUACAUGCAAGUCGAGCGAACGGACGAGAAGCUUGCUUCUCUGAUGUUAGCGGCGGACGGGUGAGUAACACGUGGAUAACCUACCUAUAAGACUGGGAUAACUUCGGGAAACCGGAGCUAAUACCGGAUGAUAUUUUGAACCGCAUGGUUCAAAAGUGAAAGACGGUCUUGCUGUCACUUAUAGAUGGAUCCGCGCUGCAUUAGCUAGUUGGUAAGGUAACGGCUUACCAAGGCAACGAUGCAUAGCCGACCUGAGAGGGUGAUCGGCCACACUGGAACUGAGACACGGUCCAGACUCCUACGGGAGGCAGCAGUGGGGAAUCUUCCACAAUGGGCGAAAGCCUGACCGAGCAACACCGCGUGAGUGAUGAAGGUCUUCGGGUCGUAAAACUCUGUUAUUAGGGAAGAACAUAUGUGUAAGUAACUGUGGACAUCUUGACGGUACCUAAACAGAAAGCCCCGGCUAACUACGUG
rnacentral:rRNA from 1 species